AUCGCCAUCGAAGCCAGGUCGUCAAAGCCAUGCCGUCGCGGAAGGAACCAGAGGAGGGAGACGAGCCCAAGCCAAGAGCGGGAGGAAGAAGGCGUCGCCGUGCCUCCUGUCGCCGUUGUGCCUUGGUGCCCUCAAAGGAGCUGUCGCUGGAGAAGGAGGGUUCGCUGGGUGCUACUAUCACCAACAUCGCAGAAUACACAUAGAGUAGAGGAAUAAAGGAUCUUUACCGCGCCAGGUUGUUGUGCUGUGAUCAGAAGCUGUUGCUGUUAGAAAGCCCAUCUGCGGUGAGAGAGAGUUCACGAAGGUUGGAACCAUUGUCCUUUGUUCAGCCCUUGUUUCUGCUACUAUUUAUGUUAGCUCACCCAUUACCGCCACUGGAGCUGUCCGGAAACCCUGUUGUUGCUGCUCCGUUAUUUUAUCGGUGAAGAGUGAUCGGAAAUAAUGUUGCUGUUGUUGAUCGGAGAUGCCAAACUGUUGCUGCUACUACUUUGAGAUGAUAUGGUUGCUAUUAGAGUUGUUGUUGAUAAGUGCAAUUUCUAUGGAUUUUGACACUCUGAGUGACAGGUUCGAAGACUCUGAAGCUACGGAUGAUUGUUGGACUAUAUUUAUGAGUUAAGUUUUUUAGUUCAGUUGCUUUCAUAGAAUUCCCUCGCAUUUGUUGUUUAAGAUUUUAUUUUAUUCAGAGGGAUAAGAGUUGUAACUGGGUUUUAUUUAAAUUCUUUUGUAUAAUGAUUAUUACUAUAAAUAAUUAUGUGAUUAUUAUUA